rnacentral:rRNA from 1 species
GACGAACGCUGGCGGCGUGCUUAACACAUGCAAGUCGAACGGAAAGGCCCUGCUUUUGUGGGGUGCUCGAGUGGCGAACUGGUGAGUAACACGUUAGUAACCUGCCCUUUACUUUGGGAUAACUUCAGGAAACUGGGGCUAAUACCGGAUAGGAGCUCCUGCUGCAUGGUGGGGGUUGGAAAGUUUCGGCGGUUGGGGAUGGACUCGCGGCUUAUCAGCUUGUUGGUGGGGUAGUGGCUUACCAAGGCUUUGACGGGUAGCCGGACUGAGAGGGUGACCGGAAAAAGUGGGACUGAGAUACGGACCAGACUACUACGGGAGGCAGAAGUGGGGAAUAUUGCAAAAUGGGCGGAAGAAUGAUGAAGCAACGCAGCGUGCGGGAUGACGGCCUUCGGGUUGUAAACCGCUUUCGCCUGUGAAGAAGAGUGAGUGACGGUAAUGGGUAAAGAAGCACCGGCUAACUACGUG